rnacentral:lncRNA from 1 species
GGCCACCGGUGACGCCUCCCCAGCGACUCACGGCCCUGAGUGUUGACAUUUUUGUUGGAGAAGUCUCAUGCCUGGUCCCUGUGCUGGUCUGACUCAGUGCACUGUCCCCACAGGGAAGUCCCACCUGGCCAUCGUGCAGAAGGUGAACAACGAGGGCGAGGGCGACCCCUUCUAUGAGGUGCUGGGCCUGGUCACCCUGGAGGAUGUCAUCGAAGAGAUCAUCAAGUCCGAGAUCCUGGACGAGUCGGACACGUACACUGACAACCGAAGCCGGAAACGGGUGUCUGCAAAGAACAAGCGUGAUUUCUCCGCCUUCAAGGAUGCUGACAAUGAACUCAAAGUCAAGAUCUCUCCUCAGCUGCUUCUGGCUGCCCAUCGCUUCCUGGCCACAGAGGUGCCCCAGUUCAGUCCCUCUCUGAUAUCAGAGAAGAUUCUGCUGCGGUUGCUCAAGUACCCAGAUGUCAUCCAGGAGCUCAAGUUUGAUGAGCACAACAAGUACUACGCCCGCCACUACUUGUAUACCCGGAACAAGCCGGCCGACUACUUCAUCCUCAUCCUGCAGGGGAAGGUGGAGGUGGAGGCAGGCAAGGAGAACAUGAAGUUUGAGACAGGCGCCUUCUCCUACUAUGGGACCAUGGCCCUGUCCUGGGUCCCCUCUGACCGCUCCCCAUCGCACCCCAUGCCCCUCAGCCGCUCAGCCUCCCUCAGUUACCCGGACCGCAGCACAGAUGCGUCCACCACGUCCACCCUGGCGGCUGGCAGCAACCAGUUUGGCAGCUCCAUCCUGGGCCAGUACAUCUCGGACUUCAGUGUCCGGGCACUCAUGGACCUGCAGUACAUUAAGGUAAGUGCCCCUGCUGCAGCCCUCGUCCCUGCUCAGGACCAGUGGCCUCUUUCCCCACCCAAACGCAGCAUCCUUCUCCUCACCUUGCCCUGCGCCUGCUGGGAGCCCCCGCAGGCCCUCUCUUCUGCCUGGGCCCCAGCUCUUGCCCACCGCACUCGCCUCCUGCCCACAGAUCACGCGGCAGCAGUACCAGAACGGGCUGAUGGCCUCCCGCAUGGAGAACGGCCCACAGUUUCCGCUGGACGGGUGCACCACCUGCACGGAGAACUUCACCGAGAAGCCCGAGCUGCCCGUGGUGGACGAGACCACAACGCUGCUCAACGAGCGCAACUCCUUGCUGCACAGAGCCUCCCCGGACAGCGCCAUCUGACAGCAGGGCCCGGGGCCCUGCCCGCCCCGCGGGGCCUCCCCAGUGGGCCACACCGAGAGAGGGGGCCUGUUAGGCCACAGGGGUGCGGAUUGCCUGUGUGA